UACGUCAGGAAGAUAAGAAAU
rnacentral:piRNA from 1 species